GGCAUUUUAAAACUGCUUUGCAUGCUAAACAGCCGUGCGCGACAUUCAGCUCGGUCGAGCAUAAUUCAACGAAUACGAGUUUUGGAAGCUAGACAAAAAUUCGCGGGUCGCACGUGUAUGUGUGCGACAUCGCGACAAUUUUCCAAAGAGUUCUAUCGGAGUAAUUUGGACAACGUUGUUCUUUCUUUCGGUCAACAAAUUUUUAGGAAAGCUACAACGAAGAAGACCGAAGUCGCCGAUGGAAAGAAGAUGGCAGCGAAUAAUAGCCGGAGUGCAAAGGUGCAACGUAGACUCUAACGAAUUGUUAACAUUCGAAGUCCUACACGGUGGAGUAAAAAAUCGGAAUCGAGUUCUCUGGGACUCUUUUAUAGGGACUCUGACGUCAGCUUUCAGGGCACAGUGAAAUCGAAAUCGACCAACCGGGGGCUAGAAAAAAUGCUCCUCGUGCACAGGAUGAUUUACUCGCAGUUAUAAUUUAUUAUUAUAAUUUACUAUUAUAAUUUACUCGCAAUGGAAAGACUUUGACGCGUCGAUGAAACAAAUCAAACGAUAUUAAAAUGAAUUAAAAUGAUCUCGUACUGCA